rnacentral:lncRNA from 1 species
UUAGCCAACAUAUCAAAACAACAUAAAUAGGACAACAAAAGAAAGGCUAAUAAAACAUUGGACUCCUAAUUUACGAGAUUCCAAGCAUUGCGAUGAUCCUAAUUUGUUGUUGGCCUAAUAUUUUAGGCCAAAAUGAGUUCCAAAGUAGAAACUCCAGCUCUCCGAGGUUGUACAUGAAACAUAAAAAGGAAAAAGGAGUAGGAUUAGGAGAAACCUUGAUUACGUCAGAAAAGUAUUACAAACAGAAGAAAAGCUCAGCCAUAGCAACAAAAUAAAACAAAUCCUAAGGAAAUAGUGAACCGAGGGAGCUCUUACUAACCAAUAUAAUUAGCUUUGUAACUAAAACUGAAGACAGUUAACAAACUAAAGAUGACAAAUAUUAAAUACCCAUUACCUAUUAACUUAAUCCAAUCUCACAUUGUAGGUAAGGCAAAUCCACAUUUUGCAAAGUGCACAUGCUAACAACAAUGAUGCACGAAGAACAUAAAAUGACAAAAUUUAUGUAACUUGACUAAGAAUGCACAUUUUUCUUCCAAUAAAGAAUUUAAAGAUAUGGCAACUAUGUAUUCAUGAAACUAAUAUGGCUUCAAACUAAUGAUUUAAACGAAGAAGAGAGGAAAAGGGGGUGAUUUGAGGACCCAAACAUUAAAAGAACAAGUUGUUAGGAACCGCAAAAUAAAUCAUUCUCUUUUGACAUAGUACUUUAGAGUAACUUUUUAAGUAUAGAUUUGACUGCUUAAACAAAUAAAUAGUGUUUAUAUAACAGAAUUCUCAUUGAUAUCACAUAGUGAUUUUGUCGUUAAAACAAAACUCAAAGGUGUCGAGACAUAUUUUAGAAGCGAUGACAAGGAUAAUCACAUGCUUAAGGCCGUAACUUUUCUUGUAAAUGAUCCUAACUUCCUCCACUCUUUACACACUAGUUUACAAUAAAGUGAACAAGAAAUGAUAAGAAAACACGUUCAACCUCAUUAUCACAAAGACGUUUCGAUAUACCCUUAGAGAUAAGAAAGAAUGGGAUAAAGAGAAAUUGAAAUACAACCAUAUGUAGUAACAUAAAUAAUUCAUCUCUCCCCAUGUAAGGAGUGAACAUAAGACAUAAGAAAUUAACUCAAACUAGAGUGUAAUAAACUAGACGACUUAUUGUUGAAUUACUAUUUUUAUCGAGUUCUUAACUAUUAGUGAUCUCUCAUAAAACAAUUAGACUUAAACAAAGGCACAAUUCAUGCUCACAUAAAUAUUUGAAGGCAUCAGAUGAUCCAAAAAAUAAGCCAAUCAAAAGCUUUCUUAAAAAAUAUACAAAACUGUACAAAAAUAAACAUUUUAUAAAAAUAUGAUCUAAAACUUAGAAUCAUGACCCUGCACUCAUUCGUUCAAUAUUGGAUCUUAAUAAUGAUAAAAAAUAAAUAAAUAAGAAUACAACACCCAUCAUAUUCAUCAAUGUAAUAGAAGAGAAAACAGAAUAAGUGAGCUUCAUUACUUGAAGCUCAAGGACGUAAAAGUGACAAUAAAACAGAACAAUGACCCAUAAAUAUUGGUCGCAUUUAUAUAGUUCGGCAGAGGGUAAGAUGAAAG